UUUAAGUAGAGUUUGAUCCUAGCUCAGGAUGAACGCUGGCGGCGUGGAUAAGGCAUGCAAGUCGAACGGACUUUUAUUGUUGAAGUGAUUAUGAAGUAGCAAUAUGGAAUGAUUAUGAAUACUCUUAAAAGUUAGUGGCGAACGAGGUAGUAACACGUGGGUACGUACCCUUGAGUCGUGAACAACUCAUCGAAAGGUGAGCUAAUACACGAUAGACUCUCCGGAGUAAAGUUUUUCGCUCAAGGAACGGCCUGCGGGAUAUCAGCUAGUUGGUAGUGUAAAGGACUACCAAGGCUAUGACGUCUAGGGGAGGUGAGAGCCUGACCCCCACCGAUGGGACUGAGACACGGCCCAUACACCUACGGGUGGCUGCAGUCGAGAAUCUUCCACAAUGGACGAAAGUCUGAUGGAGCGACGCCGCGUGAUUGAUGAAGUCCUUUGGGACGUAAAGAUCUUUUAUGAGGGAAGAAGUUUAUUGACGGUACCUCAUGAAUAAGGGGCUCCUAAUCUCGUGCCAGCAGGAGCGGUAAUACGAGAGCCCCGAGCGUUAUCCGGAAUUAUUGGGCGUAAAGGGUGCGUAGGUGGCAUUGUUAGUCUCCCGUUAAAUCUCCGAGCUUAACUUGGAAACCGCGGGGGAAACGGCAAAGCUAGAGAGUGUGAGAGGUAUAUGGAACUCUAAGUGUAGGGGUGAAAUCCGUUGAUAUUUAGGGGAACACCAAAUGCGAAGGCAAUAUACUGGCACACAUCUGACACUCAAGCACGAAAGCGUGGGUAGCGAAUGGGAUUAGAUACCCCAGUAGUCCACGCCCUAAACGAUGAUAUCUAGUCUUUCGGAGUAUCGACCCUCUGAGAGGCGUAGCUAACGCGUUAAGAUAUCCGCCUGGGAAGUACGGCCGCAAGGCUAAAACUCAAAGGAAUAGACGGGGACUUGCACAAGCAGUGGAUUAUGUGGUUUAAUUCGACGAUAAACGAAGAACCUUACCAAGGUUUGAAACUUACGUGAAAGCUCCGAGAAACCGGAGCCCUCGCAAGACUAGUAAGCAGGUGAUGCAUGGCCGUCGUCAGUUCGUGGUUUGAAUUGUUCCCUUAAGUGGGGUAACGAACGCAACCCUCGUCGUGUGUUAUACGUGUCACACGAGACCGCCCAGAACAGAGAACGUAAGCCGUAGAACGUAGAACGUAGAACGUCAGAUGCAUUUGCAUUUAACGCUCCACGCUUUACGAUUUACGUUUUGCGAGUUCCGUUCUGGGAGGAAGGAGAGGAUGACGCCAGGUCAGCAUGUCCCUUUGACACCUUGGGCCACACACAUAAUACAAUGACUAUUACAACAGGAAGCGACGAGGCGACUCUGAGCAAAUCCUUAUAAAAAUAGCCUCAGUUCGGAUAGGAGUCUGCAACUCGACUCCUUGAAGCUGGAAUUGCUAGUAAUCGCGGGUCAGCUAAACCGCGGUGAAUAUGUUCUCAAGUCUUGUACUCACCGCCCGUCAAUUCAAGGGAGCCGGGAGUACCCGAAAUCUCCUCAUAAGAGGGGCCUACGGUAAGCUCGGUGACAGGGAAUAAGUCGUAACAAGGCACGGCUAGCGGAAGCUGGUCGUGGAAUAAUUCAAUU
rnacentral:rRNA from 1 species